GGUUUAUUGGUGAUUCCAGUUUUCUCCUCUGGGGGUUGUUGAUAGGCUUUUGUCAUUUUUCUGUUUUUCUUAAUUGUAUCUAGGAAUUCUUUACACAGAGAUGCCACAAAGUUUAACUUUGGCCUCAGUACUCAGGAAAAGAUAUACUUGGUUUCAGCCUUGGCUUCAGGCUUUGAAAGACAGAGUAACAAAUAGCUACUUCUUUUCUGGCCCCUUCAUCAUCUGCUUGUUCAAUGGAGGUAGGACCACUCAAAUUACGAACAAGGUGUAGCCCUCGAAUUGGCUAUUAACAUCUGAAUACAUACUAAGUAUUCAUUUUCAAACUUAGGAGAGCAGUCUAGAUGUAACUUGGAAUAAAAACCUCCAUGGGCUUCUACAGGCUGUUAAAAUAUAAGCAUAUUUAUGUGUUUCAAUAAUAAAAUGUUGAAAUAUGCUGAUUUUGAAAGCUGUUAAUUUGCUGUACAAAAAUUAUUAAGAACUUUCAAACAGUUAAACAAUGUUAGCAGUUAUUAGGAAUAAGAGAGAGUGCAUUAGAUAGAUAACACUAACAAGAACAUAAUAUCCGUUUUCAGCCAGCAAAUGUUUAUAAAAUUUUAAAUGCUAAUAAAACAGGAGAAUAAUAGAAAUUAGAUUAUAUCACAAUGCUAAUCUUUAGAAGCAUUAAGAGCUAUAUUUAAUUUUUUGUUAUUUAAUUCAGCUUAGGCCAGAGUCUUUCAAGAAAAAAAGUCUUAUUAGAGAAGUCUUCAUAUCUCGUGAGGAUGAAUUAAAAGCAGAAUCUCAACUUUGCUACCUUUAAAUGUCACGGAGAGAAAAAACUGCAAAACCAUGUGCAACAAUAUCCAUGAUAAAUCAUCUUUGAUCUCAACAUAACGGAGACUAUAAGGAGUAUAAAGACUAGAAGAAAGAGUAGAAGGUGAUCCACAAUCAAUUCAGAACCUGGUCUUCUAUGGUGGCUCACAGUUCCUGCACCCUACAAUAUCGUGAAUUUUCUUCCUCUUCAUCUAAUGACAUGAAUAUGCUCCAGUGGAUCCUAGGAUAUCUUUCACAUGAGGUUACCCUUGCCCUUUGGAUGUCAGGUGGAACAAAGGGAUGGAAGAUUUUUUGUACUGGGACAUUCAGUAAACCCCUAGGCCUACCUAUUGUCUAGUCAGAGUUAGAGAAGCAAAUGAUGUCUGUGAGGGCCUACAAGGCACAAGAGGAUGAAAGUUUAACUUAAAGUUUAGAUGCUGAUAUUCUAGCUAGUAAUAAUGUAUGAUUGCCUCAUGUACUACUCUUUUUUUAUAUUUCUCUCCUAAUGUAUAAAGAUGGAUUUCAAAAGAUAGGCAGCCUGGGAUUCAAAUUCUGAUCAUCUUUUCACUUUGUAAACUAAUGGAUAUAUUUUUUUAAAACAUUGUGUUUAAUACACGCCAAUGCCAAAGGCUUUCUACAGACUCAUGUGGAGUGGGAUGAUGCCCAGAAUGUCGAUAAAUUGACAGAAUAAUAUGAAGAACCCAACAGUCAUGUGCCAUGAAUUCUGCAGGCACAUUUGGACAUGAGUGUGAGCCAGAAGAUCAUUCUAUUUGGGAAAAUUUAAAUUGGGUGCAAGAAGCAUUAGCUAACAGUCUGAACCGAGGUAUGAUCCAAACUGAUAAAACUUGAUGAAGUUGGAAGAAGCAAAAGGGAGUUGGUAUGGAUCCUCAGAAUACGACAGAAACACAAGGAGUUUCAAGGGCAUUUGACAACAUGAAGUGCCAGCUAUAUUAGGGCACAGCAGAAAAAAAAUGUUUUCUGGACAGACUUAAUUUCUGAAGUGCCUUCUCCUCUUAUACUACCAUGGAAAUUACAGUGUUCUUCUGCUGUCUCAGCACCUUCCACAUUUAAAAAAAAAUCAUGCCUUUCCUUAUCUGUCUACCUAAUUAGACAUCCAUGGAUGAGAAAUGUGUCUAUGUAUCUUCAGUUUCUAUAUGUCCACUACAAUCCUCAUGCCUGGAACAGAGAGGUGUUCAAUAAAUCCAUGAACAAAAAGAAACUGAAGUUCUAAGGUCCAAACAAUGUUGAUUCUUUAUGAGCCAGUAGGGAUUUGCCUCUUUCUAAUUCCUCCUGGAGCACAAGUGUUCCCGGAAUCUGGAGCAGGGUUAAAAGCAGAGAUGAAUAAUGAUCCCCAUUGUAAAGUCCCAGGGAUCCAGAUAAGAUAAUAUGCCCCACUCCAGGGAGAAUAUAUAUACUUUUUUAUUAAGAAGACACAAGAAAUGGAAUGCAGCCUAUGUUUGUAAGCGGACUUUAAUAUUAAGCCCUCAAUAAAUAUUUGAUAAAUGAAUGAAUGAUUCUGUCCAAAGAGGUUAAUCAUUAAAAUGCUCAGAGGAGACCUCAGCAGGCCCUUGAAGAACACAGCAAUUUAAGAAGUAAAAAGGAGGAUGUAGGGGAAUGUUAGUCAGGGUCAAGCCAAACAUUGAAUUCAGCAUGGCAAAUGAAAUUUACUGUAAGUGGUCUCUGUGCUGAGAUACAUAUUACUGUUUGUGCAAAUUUAGUUCCGUUAACUUUUCCCAAAACUUCUUCACCACCUUAUCUUGGAGCUUAAUUCUAACUCUCUCUACUAUGUCCAUACUAUGGGAAUGUCUUCAAGAUAAUAUUGUCUUGUUAAAAUUCGGCUUCAGACUUCAGGACUUUUACAUUCUUGGAUGGGGAUCUAAACAAGACAUGAACCAAUCAUAAGGAAAUAUGGCUCCUUCUCCAUUAUUUUAAACAAGAAAAUAUUAUUGUUAUUGUAGCUGUUUGAGAGACAAGGAGAUUAAACUUGCUACGGUUAAGAAAUUUGAAAGCAGAUUUUUUUAGAGGCAGACAAUAAGGAAGAGUGUUUUUGGACAUACUUUGCUCAAACCUUUCCUGUGUUUGAGUAUUCCACCCAAACAGAACUUUCUCCAUUGAGCCAUUUGCUGUCCUGUCAGCUAAAAAAUAAAAAAUAAAAAAAACAAUAAAACAAAACAAAACAAAGAGCAAAAACCAUUUUAUCUUCUUGAUACUGUGGCACUUGAUGUGCAACAGAGAGACUACAUUCUUGCAAUCGGUCAGAAGCAGAACUUGACCAAUAUGAAACAAUACAUAUCCUAAGAAAACAACAUGCACAGAUAAUUUGCAGAAAGUUUAGAACAACAACAAUAAAAUAUUUUAAUUUGC
rnacentral:lncRNA from 1 species